AUCAAGCUCAAAAUACUUAAUAAUUACGAUUAGUAUUGUGUGCCACAAGCCUUAAAUGGUGGAGAAUGAGUUAGAAUGGAGCAUUCCUACCCCCACUCUAAUUAUUUUGGAUGCAAGACAUGUGGCUUGUUGUCUAGAAUAUUCACCUUUGCCCCUAGACUUUAGUGCAAUCUAAUCACAAACAUUCUUUUCAUAAACCCUUGUUUAAGGUAAAAUCAAC
rnacentral:lncRNA from 1 species